AGUGAACGCUGGCGGUAGGCCUAACACAUGCAAGUCGAACGGCAGCACAGUAAGAGCCUGCUCUUACGGGUGGCGAGUGGCGGACGGGUGAGGAAUACAUCGGAAUCUACUUUUUCGUGGGGGAUAACGUAGGGAAACUUACGCUAAUACCGCAUACGACCUACGGGUGAAAGCAGGGGAUCUUCGGACCUUGCGCGAUUGAAUGAGCCGAUGUCGGAUUAGCUAGUUGGCGGGGUAAAGGCCCACCAAGGCGACGAUCCGUAGCUGGUCUGAGAGGAUGAUCAGCCACACUGGAACUGAGACACGGUCCAGACUCCUACGGGAGGCAGCAGUGGGGAAUAUUGGACAAUGGGCGCAAGCCUGAUCCAGCCAUACCGCGUGGGUGAAGAAGGCCUUCGGGUCGUAAAGCCCUUUUGUUGGGAAAGAAAAGCAGCAGGUUAAUACCCCGCUGUUCUGACGGUACCCAAAGAAUAAGCACCGGCUAACUUCGUG
rnacentral:rRNA from 1 species